rnacentral:rRNA from 1 species
UUUGAUCCUGGCUCAGAUUGAACGCUGGCGGCAUGCCUUACACAUGCAAGUCGAACGGCAGCAUAGGAGCUUGCUCCUGAUGGCGAGUGGCGAACGGGUGAGUAAUAUAUCGGAACGUGCCCUAGAGUGGGGGAUAACUAGUCGAAAGACUAGCUAAUACCGCAUACGAUCUACGGAUGAAAGUGGGGGAUCGCAAGACCUCAUGCUCCUGGAGCGGCCGAUAUCUGAUUAGCUAGUUGGUGGGGUAAAAGCCUACCAAGGCGACGAUCAGUAGCUGGUCUGAGAGGACGACCAGCCACACUGGGACUGAGACACGGGCCCAGACUCCUACGGGAGGCAGCAGUGGGGAAUUUUGGACAAUGGGGGCAACCCUGAUCCAGCAAUGCCGCGUGAGUGAAGAAGGCCUUCGGGUUGUAAAGCUCUUUUGUCAGGGAAGAAACGGUAGUAGCUAAUAUCUAUUACUAAUGACGGUACCUGAAGAAUAAGCACCGGCUAACUACGUGCCAGCAGCCGCGGUAAUACGUAGGGUGCAAGCGUUAAUCGGAAUUACUGGGCGUAAAGCGUGCGCAGGCGGUUGUGUAAGUCAGAUGUGAAAUCCCCGGGCUCAACCUGGGAAUUGCAUUUGAGACUGCACGGCUAGAGUGUGUCAGAGGGGGGUAGAAUUCCACGUGUAGCAGUGAAAUGCGUAGAUAUGUGGAGGAAUACCGAUGGCGAAGGCAGCCCCCUGGGAUAACACUGACGCUCAUGCACGAAAGCGUGGGGAGCAAACAGGAUUAGAUACCCUGGUAGUCCACGCCCUAAACGAUGUCUACUAGUUGUCGGGUCUUAAUUGACUUGGUAACGCAGCUAACGCGUGAAGUAGACCGCCUGGGGAGUACGGUCGCAAGAUUAAAACUCAAAGGAAUUGACGGGGACCCUGCACAAGCGGUGGAUGAUGUGGAUUAAUUCGAUGCAACGCGAAAAACCUUACCUACCCUUGACAUGGAUGGAAUCCUGAAGAGAUUUGGGAGUGCUCGAAAGAGAACCAUCACACAGGUGCUGCAUGGCUGUCGUCAGCUCGUGUCGUGAGAUGUUGGGUUAAGUCCCGCAACGAGCGCAACCCUUGUCAUUAGUUGCUACGAAAGGGCACUCUAAUGAGACUGCCGGUGACAAACCGGAGGAAGGUGGGGAUGACGUCAAGUCCUCAUGGCCCUUAUGGGUAGGGCUUCACACGUCAUACAAUGGUACAUACAGAGGGCCGCCAACCCGCGAGGGGGAGCUAAUCCCAGAAAGUGUAUCGUAGUCCGGAUUGGAGUCUGCAACUCGACUCCAUGAAGUUGGAAUCGCUAGUAAUCGCGGAUCAGCAUGUCGCGGUGAAUACGUUCCCGGGUCUUGUACACACCGCCCGUCACACCAUGGGAGCGGGUUUUACCAGAAGUGGGUAGCCUAACCGCAAGGAGGGCGCUCACCACGGUAGGAUUCGUGACUGGGGUGAAGUCGUAACAAGGUAACC